UCAGACAACUGUACUCAACAGUAGACAGUGUCUAGAUUAGUUCGGCAAAGAAAUAAGCCACGGCUCUGCAGGGUAUCAACUCAGCUAUUAAAAAUUACAGAUGAACAAGGAUCUCGGGGGGGGGGGGGAGUGUCAGGUUGGUGAGCUUUAAAAAUUAAAAACAAAAUACAAAGCCAUACAGACUGGAUGUUUAACCUGUAAGGAAAUCUGUCACGUCCUUGAGGAAGCUCCAGUGAGAAAAGAUCAAUAGAAUGCCUACUGGCUCCAUUAGCUUGAUGUAAAAAGGGGAAGAGAUAUACCAGCUAUUCCAGGAGAGGAGCUACAUUAUUCCAGGGAUUAUACAGGAUCAGAUCUCUCCUUUUUUUUGCAGAAAAAGACAACGAACGGAGAGAGAGAAAAGGAAGACCUCUGGUGGGCCAGAUCUGGAGUGAAAGGGCUUGUCAGAAAUUGUUUUCUAGGAAGUUGCCUCAAACCAAAAUCACAUUUGGAUACACACAAAAAGUUGACAUAUGUUUGGAUCAUGGCCAUGGUGUUUGAACCCUUCUUCUCUCAUCCUCCAUUUGGUUUACCCAAAGAAGAAACAUGGCUCAAGAAACAUUUAAACUGGAGAAUUCCCCAACAUUCUUAACUGAGGAGAAGGGAAAGUAGUAGCAGUGGAACACAUCAACAAGAAGAAAACAGAUAUGAUGAGACAGCCUGGAGAUGAGAUCCUGCAAGGAUAGUUUCAAGGCAUUAAACAUGUUUUGUCCUGGAGAAGGGAUGCUUGAAAGGCAGCUACUUUCAAUGUGCCAAUUAGUUUUGGAGCUUUGUUCUGAUAUUACCAUGGCUCCCAAAGAUAAGGUUCAAAUCAAAAUAUUCAGAUUGCAAGAAAGGGAUUUUUUAUGCUAAAUGGUGAGAAGAUUUUCAGGUCACAGAUUGCAUGAGAAAGUGUCAGAGUGUCCCUUGAAAGACUUUUUAAGCAUUGUGUAGCAGGCCAUCUAAAAGAGAUUCUGUAUCAUGUGAUUUCCUGUGUUGACAAGGAGUUGAACAUGACCUUUGCAGUCCUUUCCAACUUUAUGAUUUAAAGCAGUAAUCUUAUGUAUUACUUCAGAAAUCCAUCCAGUUACAAUAGUAGGACAGUGUUUUAUCCCAUGUUACACACAAUAAACUGUUUCCUUCCCUCUA